rnacentral:rRNA from 1 species
AGAGUUUGAUCAUGGCUCAGGACGAACGCUGGCGGCGUGCCUAAUACAUGCAAGUCGAGCGCAGGAAGCCGUCUGAACCCUUCGGGGGGACGACGGUGGAAUGAGCGGCGGACGGGUGAGUAACACGUAAAGAACCUGCCCAUAGGUCUGGGAUAACCACGAGAAAUCGGGGCUAAUACCGGAUGUGUCAUCGGACCGCAUGGUCCGCUGAUGAAAGGCGCUCCGGCGUCGCCCAUGGAUGGCUUUGCGGUGCAUUAGCUAGUUGGUGGGGUAACGGCCCACCAAGGCGACGAUGCAUAGCCGACCUGAGAGGGUGAUCGGCCACACUGGGACUGAGACACGGCCCAGACUCCUACGGGAGGCAGCAGUAGGGAAUCUUCCACAAUGGACGAAAGUCUGAUGGAGCAACGCCGCGUGAACGAUGAAGGCUUUCGGGUCGUAAAGUUCUGUUGUAAGGGAAGAACAAGUGCCGCAGGCAAUGGCGGCACCUUGACGGUACCUUGCGAGAAAGCCACGGCUAACUACGUGCCAGCAGCCGUGGUAAUACGUAGGUGGCAAGCGUUGUCCGGAAUUAUUGGGCGUAAAGCGCGCGCAGGCGGCCUCUUAAGUCUGAUGUGAAAGCCCCCGGCUCAACCGGGGAGGGCCAUUGUAAACUGGGAGGCUUGAGUAUAGGAGAGAAGAGUGGAAUUCCACGUGUAGCGGUGAAAUGCGUAGAGAUGUGGAGGAACACCAGUGGCGAAGCGACUCUUUGGCCUAUAACUGACGCUGAGGCGCGAAAGCGUGGGGAGCAAACAGGAUUAGAUACCCUGUAGUCCACGCCGUAAACGAUGAGUGCUAGGUGUGGAGGUUUCCGCCAUCAAUGCUGAGCUACGCAUUAAGCACUCCGCCUGGGGAGUACGGUCGCAAGGGCUGAAACUCAAAGGGAAUUGACGGGGACCCGCACAAGCGGUGGAGCAUGUGGUUUAAUUCGAAGCAACGCGAAGAACCUUUACCAACUCUUGACAUCCCCCUGACCGGUACAGAGAUGUACCUUCCCCUUCGGGGGCAGGGGUGACAGGUGGUGCAUGGUUGUCGUCAGCUCGUGUCGUGAGAUGUUGGGUUAAGUCCCGCAACGAGCGCAACCCUUGUCCUUAGUUGCCAGCAUUUGGUUGGGCACUCUAGGGAGACUGCCGGUGACAAACCGGAGGAAGGUGGGGAUGACGUCAAAUCAUCAUGCCCCUUAUGAGUUGGGCUACACACGUGCUACGAUGGACGGUACAAAGGGCAGCGAAGCCGCGAGGUGGAGCCAAUCCCAGAAAGCCGUUCUCAGUUCGGAUUGCAGGCUGCAACUCGCCUGCAUGAAGUCGGAAUCGCUAGUAAUCGCAGGUCAGCAUACUGCGGUGAAUACGUUCCCGGGUCUUGUACACACCGCCCGUCACACCACGAGAGUUUGCAACACCCGAAGUCGGUGAGGUAACCGUAAGGAGCCAGCCGCCGAAGGUGGGGCAGAUGAUUGGGGUGAAGUCGUAACAAGGUAACCGUA